rnacentral:rRNA from 1 species
GACGGAACGCUGGCGGCGCGGCCUAACACAUGCAAGUCGAACGGAGUUAUUUCAGCAGAAGCUUUCGGGUGGACGCAGGGAUAACUUAGUGGCGAACGGGUGAGUAACACGUGAGGAACCUGCCCUGGAGUGGGGGAUAACAGUUGGAAACGACUGCUAAUACCGCAUAAGCCCACAGCACCGCAUGGUGCAGCGGGAAAAGGAGCAAUUCGCUUCAGGAUGGCCUCGCGUCCAAUUAGGUAGAUGGUGAGGUAACGGCCCACCAUGCCGACGAUUGGUAGCCGGACUGAGAGGUUGAACGGCCACAUUGGGACUGAGACACGGCCCAG